rnacentral:lncRNA from 1 species
UUCAAAUUAGAAACACAUUUGAGUGAUGAAGCUAGAGCUAUUUUACAAGGUUGACUGCUAUUAUUGGAUUGAUGAAUUUUAAGAUGUGGACAUAUGUGAGAGGCUCACCCAACAGACUUCACUGGUUUCUAGACGGAGUUUCACUCUUCUUGCCCAGGCUGGAGUACAAUGGUACAAUCUUGGCUCACUGCAACCUCUGCCUCCCAAGUUCAAGCGAUUCUCCUGCUUCAGCAUCCGGAGUAGCUGUGAUUACAAACGUGCCACUAUACCCGGAGCUUAUGGUCUUUUCUUAACAUUUCUUGAUGACGAGGAUGGGAUUUGAAGUGGCACCCUUGCUUUUUCCCAACACUAUCUGGACCAAUGCAUUUGCACCUGCAAGAACCCCUUGAGCUCACUUAUCUUCCUGGCUGCACCAGGGAGAAAUGAGAACCUGAAGACCGAAUCCUCUGAGAACAACAGAGAUACUUUCUUGCCAUGUACACUCCAGCAAAAACUUCGGGACCUUGAACUUUGGGUUCAUAAUCUCACAACUGAGAAGGAUUACUCCACACUCAUAGAACUGCACACCCAUUGGAACCCUUAAGGUGAAGCUAACCAGGGAAUUUUCUCCCCAGAAGAAGAAGAUAUUCUUGAUAUGAACAGCUUUUCCCAAAAUCAUGGAUCAAGAUUUCUACUAUUAUAAGACUCUUAUCUUUGAAUAUUUUUCCCUUGCUUAUACCUCUAUGAACAAUAGAAGUGAAAAGAGGGUCUAUUUUGUGCACAUAUGGGUAUACCUUUAUUUGUGAAUAAUUUUGCAGCCAGCCUUAUACAUAGAUAAACUUAUAUCUUGAUAGAUGAAAGAUGAAGGUGCAAUGUAGGUGAGAAACCUUAAUGGUAUAUACAGUGUCACAUAGUUAGAAACAGAACAUUGGUUCACUCCUCCUAACCCACAUCAUGAGUUAAAGAGAACAUUGCCAGGAGGCCUUCAC